rnacentral:rRNA from 1 species
UACAGGGGGGGCAAGCGUUGUUCGGAAUUACUGGGCGUAAAGGGUUCGUAGGUGGCCACUUAAGUCAGACGUGAAAUCCCUCAGCUUAACUGGGGAACUGCGUCUGAUACUGAGUGGCUUGAGUGCAGGAGAGGAAUGCGGAAUUCCAGGUGUAGCGGUGAAAUGCGUAGAGAUCGGGAGGAAGGCCGGUGGCGAAGGCGGCGCUCUGGAACAUUUCUGACGCUGAGGCUCGAAAGCGUGGGGAGCAAACAGGG